CCGUAGCUAACGCAUUAAGUGCCCCGCCUGGGGAGUACGGCCGCAAGGCUAAAACUCAAAGGAAUUGACGGGGGCCCGCACAAGCGGCGGAGCAUGCGGAUUAAUUCGAUGCAACGCGAAGAACCUUACCAAGGCUUGACAUGUGCCAGACCGCUCCAGAGAUGGGGUUUCCCUUCGGGGCUGGUUCACAGGUGGUGCAUGGUUGUCGUCAGCUCGUGUCGUGAGAUGUUGGGUUAAGUCCCGCAACGAGCGCAACCCUCGUUCCAUGUUGCCAGCACGUAGUGGUGGGGACUCAUGGGAGACUGCCGGGGUCAACUCGGAGGAAGGUGGGGAUGACGUCAAAUCAUCAUGCCCCUUAUGUCUUGGGCUUCACGCAUGCUACAAUGGCCGGUACAAUGGGUUGCGAUACUGUGAGGUGGAGCUAAUCCCUAAAAGCCGGUCUCAGUUCGGAUUGGGGUCUGCAACUCGACCCCAUGAAGUCGGAGUCGCUAGUAAUCGCAGAUCAGCAACGCUGCGGUGAAUACGUUCCCGGGCCUUGUACACACCGCCCGUCAAGUCACGAAAGUUGGUAACACCCGAAGCCGAUGGCCUAACCACCU
rnacentral:rRNA from 1 species